AAGAUUUUAUGAUAAGUAUUUUGAAAGUAUUUAAUAAGGUUAGUCCUUUAAAAUUAA
rnacentral:tRNA from 1 species